GGGCUUCAUUCGCUCUGAUUUCAGGAACUUUGGGACCUAGGAUUAGACAGCAGAAGGGCAACAAGAAGGUAUCGAUGGGCUUUCCGCCUAACGUAUUCCCGGAGCUGCCUUUAUUGGAGACAUCUUUCUGGAAACCCACUUCAGUUAAAGCAGAGGACUGGAGGCUAUAGUACUUUAAUAAAGAAUAUAAUGAAAACAG